GGUGGAGCUUUUAAGCUUUGACACUGUGAAGGAUUGGACUGGGUACAAUUUCAAGGAGAUAAUGGAUGAUGCCACUAAAAUGAGAACUACCGGCAAUCGGUUAUU